UCGCUACUACCGAUUGAACGGCUUAGUGAGUUCUAGGGACCGAGGGGUUUGCAGGGUUUCCUGCAUUCUCCCUUGAGGAACUAGUGCAAACUUGAUCGUUUAGAGGAAGUAA
rnacentral:rRNA from 1 species